CUUGAACAGGCAGCAGCUUGGCGCUUGGCUGGGAGAGCCCGGGGAGGGGCCUCGGAGCUAAGCCCUGCAGCCCAGGCUAGCUUGACACUUGAGCCUCCUGCCUCUGCUUCCUGAAUAUGAGGAUGCAGGUGUACAUCGGCCUGCCAGCACUGCAUAUUUUCACGCAACAGCUACUACGCACAAGCAGGAGCUGUUGGUCCUGGGUAUCGUGGGUCCCCUGAGAACAGGACAGCCUGUGUUCUCCCUCCGGGCAAGAAGAAGGUUAACUCUGCUGUUACACUACUUACAUCGCCAUGCUGUUGCUGUCUGGAUAUUUCCAUACCACCCAGAGCAGCUCGCUCCACUCUCUGUGAAGUUCCGCACCUCAGUGGCUCUUCCCAUCUCCCUAUUCAGGGGUAGACCGCUACCCUCCGGACACAGUUCUUCACCCUCUGAAGACUUUGCGAUCUCUCAGCAUCCUUCUGUCCCCACCAGGAGUCUCCUUGGUUGUGGCUUGUUCGUCUCGCCUCUGAGGAGUGACUGGUAGACUUCCUGUCGCAUCUGUCUCUCUUCUACCUGUCCAUCAGAAGGACCCUCUUCCAAACUUCUCUGUACCCCACUUCUCCCACCCUUCCCAUUCCCCCUGACCAGUUUCAUCCCCUGCUGUGCCUCUCUCCUCACUCCUACCCCCAUUUCCCAGCAUCCCUCAAGUUCUCUGUACAUUGCCUGGGACAAUCCCAUCCUAGUGCCUCAUGGAAGAAACCCAAAUCAACCUCCUGGACUCAGUGGUA